CAGGGAGGCCACGAUGGGGGCCUCAGAGGGACGGUUUGCUCUCGCCAGGCCUCGCGCGCCGCCCACGUCAGCAAGGAAUGGGCACAGGGUCUCUGUUUUACAUCCUCAUGAGCCGGUAGCAUCCUGGUUGUUUGCCAGGAGAGCACAGGCAUUGGCGGGAUACAGAUUGGGCAGAGAGCAGGCCUCCCUCGCAGAGGCUAAGCAACAUAAAAAGGAAAGAAAAGACCUGCAACUGGGGGGACCUUGUUGGAGAAAAUAGAGUUUCACGUGGGCCUCUGUGGAGGGAUAGAUGUCUAGGCUGUGAACAGAAGGGGGGGGGAUGGGAGACGUUGGCCUACCACGAACAAAGAUCCAACAGUGGGAAACGUGGCACAUGGCUGGGUAAAGAGAACAGGCCACCUUGCCGGGUCUGGGAGGGCCAGUGGGGGAGAGAGGCAGGAAAAAUUGGGUAGGAUUUCUCAGGGCAGGCAGUUUUGAGGCUCUUUUGGUAGGAAAUGGAAGAGAUACUGAAUUUUUUGUCCUGCAAGUGAGGAUUUGAGCCUAGUUUUAGGACAGGUUUGAGGCAGUGCGGAGGAUGGUCCUGUUGAAGAGAACAAAGGAGGCUGUGUCUGGUCAUGACCUUUAAGGGAGCGAGAACCACGCACAGGGAAGGAAGCAGGAGGGCUGGAGGGAGGGACUCAAGAGGGAUCCCAGAGGACCCUCCAGCGACUUCUGUGCGACGCACAAAGGGUGGCGGAGUCAAGUCUGGCGCCUGGAUGAUGGGACACCUGUAGGAUAGAGAAGCUGGCAUGGUGGUGGAGCCAGUCUGGUUUUAGACAUGGCAGAGGGGAAGGAAGGAGGUACAGUCUGGGUGGAGAUUUUCUUCAGCUUAUUAUUUAGGAGGAAGAGACCGAAGUUUAGAAGGAAGGUAAAGACCCCGAAUUCAAAGGGAUAGUUAUUCUUCUUAGGAUAUGAAAUCACUAGAUCAGAUAAAACCUUCAAGGGGAGAAAUAUGUUUGGUGAUAGAAGCUCAAACACCUGGAGCACUGGAGAAGAAAAGGGGGGACAUUACAGGAGAGAGCAGCGGGCCUAGGACGGGAUGGGUGGGAGUACGCCGGAGUGAAGAAUUUAAGAAUUGGUCAACAGAUCACAUCUCGAUGGUGGUUUCUUAGCCUCUGCACUGGUGACAUCGGGGGCCAGUUACUGGCUACCAGAAUCUGAAAACCCCAAAUCACUUGGAUGAGUGGGGAUCAGAGCUGAAACUCCACCACAGAUCAGCAGUGGGACCUGAGAGGUUGCAGCAACGUGGCCGAUGUUUGAAAGGCAGCUGGGUAGCCUGACCACAGGGACCCGAGGAACGGACGCAGCCAAGAAACACGCUUCUCCGGGAGGCUUCACCCUGUGCCCUUGGCCUCGGCAGAGCCGUGUUGCAAGCAGCGGCCACUCAGGGGACGUGGGUUCAAUCCCUGGUCCGGGAGGAUCCUCCAUGCCGCCGGGCAACUAAGCCUGCGCGCCACAAAUAGAGAAGCCUGCGCACUGCAACUAGAGAGCCCUGCGUGCCUCAGUGAAGACCCAGGGCGGCCAAAAGGAAAAAACGAAGCCUCCCUGCUACCGCGGAGGAGAUCGUCGGAGGCAGGAAGGAGCAGCGGGGGACCAGUCAGUCCAGAUGAGGCCUGGCCGGAGCCACCAGUUGGCGGGGAGAGUGUCUGAGAUGAUCUGGGGGGCUCACAGCACGGCUGGUGGGCGCAUGAGAGGGGUCAGAGGUGACUUGGGGUGGCUGGGGUCUGCUUCCCAAGGCUAGUCUCAGGGCGGCUUUCCCUCUGGGUCCUUGUUAUUGACAGUGUAGAAGAGGGUCCCUGGUACAUCUGGGCCCUUCCUCAGCCCUUGGGCUCAGCCUGUCCUCGGAGCUGGUUCCUUCUGGCCUGGAGCCCACGUGGUGGGGAGGUUGUCCUCGUUGGGGAGAUGGCCGAGACUGGCGGAACCAGUGUGCACGGUGACCCAGCCUCCGGCAACGCCUCCCUCCCACCGGUCCCCUUCUGAAGGGGCCACCCAUCUUCAUCCUCUUGCCAGGGUGUUACAGGGGUUUUCUGGGGUUUUUGGACCAGUGAGGAAAGCGAUGCUGGAGAGAGGGUCAGUGCUGGGAGCCACUUCUCCAGUCCCCUGACGGGAACAGCAGGCUGGGUGGGCUGCGUGGGUGCCUGGUGCUGCGGGUCCACUGUGAAGGGGUCUCUGGGACACCCCCAGGCUCCCACUGGAGCCCCACCCGGCGUCCUGCUCUCUCUGGGUGAUUGACCUUCCCGGGGGCCCGAGCCUUGGCACAAAGUGCCCCAGGCCCCCGCCAGCAGAUGGCACAGCUGCAGUAACCCAGCUGGCCGUGCGCCUUUCUCAGGAGACACCGGGGGUGGGGCUCCUGCGGCCCCCGCACCCUGGACACCUCCUGGACCUGCUCUUGAACCUGGCUGUGUGGUCACAGCCUUUCUGCUCUCGAGCGUCCUUGGAGCCGUCAGCAGCGGUGUCCCCCCUCUGAAGCCCCGAAACGACUCUGUGUGGUACCCCUGAACCUCCAUAAUGCCACCUCCUUGAUUUGAAACCUCAAUGCUUCAGCCCCUCCUUGAUGGGCGUCUAACCUCGCCCUCUGAAGGAAAGGUUUGCUAAGAAAACAGAAUUUUAUGCACAGUCUCGGGAGGUAAGGCGUGGUCUUCACCCUCCACCAGAACCUGCCUGUUCUUAAGGGUUUCCGUGUUGCAUGAUCUGCAGGUUAGAGUUGGGUCACGUCUAGCUUUGAAUAAAGGCCCAGCAAGUUGCCUCUUAGAAAUACCUUGUCACAGCUGAACUCAGGUUCACCAUGGGGCUUCUUUAAGAUGGUCUGAUUAAUUCAUGGUGGCCACCCUGCGGCCCAUAGCCGCCUGAGACAAGAGGAUUUACUGUACCAGUUUACUGCCAGGCCGUAUCAGCUGAUAAGCAGGAGACUAUAGACCGUCUGUUUAAGAAUAAAAAUAAAAUAAAAGUUAACAGCGGCGCAGCCCUAGAGCAAACACUUUGCACUGCUGCAUAUAGUGAACGAGCCUGUUGGACGUAGUGACCUUGGCUGAGGUAGCCAUGGGCUUGUCCCUCCGUCCCUGCGCGUCCGGGGCGCCGGGCUGCUCAGAUCUGUGGCCUUCCGGCCCCCAAGCAGCACCCUGGAGGGCAGAGCUCCCCGCCCCACAGAGCCCCGGGCAUCACUCCCGUCCUGGCCGCAGCCAGGCUCCCCCCUCCAGCUCUGGCCACAUUUGCGGGUCUCUAACUCUCUUUAGGCCACAGCGACUGUCCCCAGGCAGGAUGUCCAGCCCCAUCAGCCGAGAGCCCCCACGUUCAGUCGCGUGGACCCAUCGUGGAGGCCGGCCUGUGGGGUGGGCGGGACACGGGAGCGUGGGCCGAGGAGGGCUUCCUGGGGCCGCGAAGGACGGGCCUUUUGCUUGGCUUCGUGGUGAGCUGCCAGCCCCGUUUUGGUUUGCAGCUUUUGCUCGGUACUGCGCGGGGUCUCCUUCGCCUUGGCACUGGCUGGGCGGGGGAGGCGUCAUCACGGCUCUCCUCGGGUCCACAUGCAGGACGACAUCGUUGGCGCGGCCCACCACUCAAAUCAAGGCGGCAACAGAACCUUCCGAGAAGAGCCUUCAGAAGUGAAAUGUCGAGGCUGCCGUCAUGCGUGAGACGGUGGCAGAGCCGCGAUCCACUUCUCUUCCUUUCCAGGGUGCCCUGAGGCUGCUGCCGAGCCCACGUUCAAAGGCUGUUUCUUCAAAGUAAACGGUGCUGCCUUCGAACUGGGAGGGGAAGUGGGCGGUUGGGAGGCAGGUUUCCACGUGCGUGUUGAACGGCUGGGGCGUGGUCUUUGGUUCAUGAUCGUGUGAGAACUUGGGGUGCGGACAGGGAGGUCCAAGUCCGUCUGGGCCCCGGUGUUGGCAGGGCCGGGAGGCGGCAUCAGGCACAGCCCUGUGGGAAGUGACCGUGAAGGACCCUUCCGGAGGGCCCCCCCCAAUCCUGUUGUGCGUGGUUCAGAGGGUUGGGCGGAGGCUUUCCUGAAGGCUCUGAGGAGUGCUGCACCCACAGGCUGUGUGCUCAGGCGGCGGGACGUGGGCACUCGGACGAGGGAAAGGCCGGCCCGGCCACGUCGUCUGCCUGCUCCCCCCGGGGAGGCCCCAACGCGGUCAGCUGCCCCGUGGUGGCCAGUGGGCAUCGAGAUGCAAGCCCGCCUGUUUUCCCGCUGCUCCAGGCCUCUGGUGUCUCCCCACCGCCUGGAACGCAAAAGCCAUGCCAACCUUGGUCUUGAGCCUCUGCAGCUCCCCAGAGGCCCCCGAUGCUCUUCAGCCUGCACCCGGCCUGUUCCUCCCCUCCUGGGGGUCUUCCUCGCUCUCACCCUGGCUGCCCACCUGGCCUGGCCAGUCCUUCCCACCCUUGGGAAGCCCCCUGACCGUCCAGCCCUCACUGGGCGUCACAGCCCCUCUUGUCUUGGUUCCUUUGCUGGAUGCUUGUUUGUUGCCCACGCCUUCUACUUCUUCUAGACUGAACCCCAAGGUGACGGCCAGAUCCGCCACGCGGACUGUUACGCUCUCCAGCUUCUGUCUCCACGCGUGGCACAAAGUAGGUGCCUAAUAAAUUU